GGGGGUAUAGCUCAGUGAUAGAGCACAUACUUGGCAUGCAUGUAGUCCUGGGUUCAAUCCCCAGUGUGUCUG
rnacentral:tRNA from 1 species